rnacentral:rRNA from 1 species
ACAUGCAGUCGAGCGCCGCAGGGGAGCGGCAGACGGGAGAGUACACGUGGGACGUACCUUUGGUUCGGAACAACCCAGGGAAACUUGGGCUAAUACCGGAUAAGCCCUUACGGGGAAAGAUUUAUCGCCGAAGGAUCGGCCGCGUCUGAUUAGCUAGUUGGUGGGGUAACGGCCCACCAAGGCGACGAUCAGUAGCUGGUCUGAGAGGAUGAUCAGCUCACUGGGACUGAGACACGGCCAGACUCCUACGGGAGGCAGCAGUGGGGAAUAUUUGGACAAUGGGCGCAAGCCUUGAUCCAGCCAUGCCGCGUGGGUGAUGAAGGCCCUAGGGUUGUAAAGCCCUUUCGGCGGGGAAGAUAAUGACGGUACCCGCAGAAGAAGCCCCGGCUAACUUCGUGCCAGCAGCCGCGGUAAUACGAAGGGGGCUAGCGUUGCUCGGAAUCACUGGGCGUAAAGCGCACGUAGGCGGCUUCUUAAGUCGGGGGUGAAAUCCUGGAGCUCAACUCCAGAACUGCCUUCGAUACUGAGGAGCUUGAGUCCGGGAGAGGUGAGUGGAACUGCGAGUGUAAGGUGAAAUUCGUAAUAUUCGCAAGAACACCAGUGGGAAGGCGGUCACUGGCCCGGUACUGACGCUGAGGUGCGAAAGCGUGGGGAGCAAAACAGGAUUAGAUACCCUGGUAGUCCACGCCGUAAACGAUGGAUGCUAGCCGUUGGCGGGUUUACCCGUCAGUGGGCA